rnacentral:misc_RNA from 1 species
AAGUCGUAACAAGGUUUCCGUAGGUGAACCUGCGGAAGGAUCAUUAAAGAGUAAGGGUCUCGACUUAUACAGAGCCCGACCUCCAACCCUUUGUCUACCUUACCAAUGUUGCUUCGGCGAGCCCGCUUCUAACGAGGCCGCCGGAGGGUCGUUAAACACCCUCUGGUCAGUGCUCGCCGGUAGCCCCAACCAAAACUCUUGUUAAGAACCCGUCUGAGUAUAUACAAACAAAUAAGUAAAAACUUUCAACAACGGAUCUCUUGGUUCUG